CCUACGGGCGGCUGCAGUGGGGGAUAUUGCACAAUGGGGGAAACCCUGAUGCAGCGACGCCGCGUGAGUGAAGAAGUAUUUCGGUAUGUAAAGCUCUAUCAGCAGGGAAGAAAAUGACAGUACCUGACCAACAAGCCCCGGCUAACUACGUGCCAGCAGCCGCGGUAAUACGUAGGGGGCAAGCGUUAUCCGGAUUUACUGGGUGUAAAGGGAGCGUAGGCGGUUAUGUAAGUCUGGAGGGAAAGCCCGGGGCCGAACCCCGGGACUGCUGUGGAAACUGUGUAACUGGAGUGCAGGAGAGGCAGGCGGAAUUCCUGGUGUAGCGGUGAAAUGCGUAGAUAUCAGGAGGAACACCGGCGGCGAAGGCGGCCUGCUGGACUGAAACUGACGUUGAGGCUCGAAAGCGUGGGGAGCAAACAGGAUUAGAUACCCUGGUAGUC
rnacentral:rRNA from 1 species